ACCGUGCAAAGGUAGCAUAAUCAUUUGUUCUCUAAAUAGGGACUUGUAUGAAUGGCCACACGAGGGUUUAACUGUCUCUUACUUCCAAUCAGUGAAAUUGACCUUCCCGUGAAGAGGCGGGAAUAUACCAAUAAGACGAGAAGACCCUAUGGAGCUUCAAUUAACUAACCCACAAUAACCAAUCAAUAUGCCAACCAGGCCUAACAUAAUCUUAUUUCUGGGUUAGCAAUUUAGGUUGGGGUGACCUCGGAGAAUAAAAUAACCUCCGAGUGAUUUAAUCUGAGACAAACCAGUCGAAGCGUCCUAUCAUUAAUUGAUCCAAUAAUUUGAUCAACGGAACAAGUUACCCUAGGGAUAACAGCGCAAUCCUAUUUGAGAGUCCAUAUCAACAAUAGGGUUUACGACCUCGAUGUUGGAUCAGGACAUCCUAAUGGUGCAGCAGCUAUUAAUGGUUCGUUUGUUCAACGAUUAAAGUCCUACGUGAUCUGAGUUCAGACCGG
rnacentral:rRNA from 1 species